GACUCUCGCGCACAGUAAUACACAGCUGUGUCUCCAGUCUGCAGGCUGCUCCCCUGCAAAGUCACUGUGCUGCUGGAGGUGUCUCUGGUGAUGGUGAACUUGUUCUUUAGUGAAUCUUUAUAACCAGUACCGCCACCCGUCCCUAUAUAUCCAAUCCACUCCAGAGCUUUCCCUGUAGGCUGUCGGAUCCAGUGUGUAGCAUAGCUGCUCAGUGAAUAUGACACUUUACA